CAGCCGCCGCGGUAAUACGUAGGGCGCGAGCGUUGUCCGGAAUUAUUGGGCGUAAAGAGCUCGUAGGCGGCUGGUCGCGUCUGCCGUGAAAGCCCGCGGCUUAACCGUGGGUCUGCGGUGGAUACGGGCCGGCUAGAGGCAGGCAGGGGCAAGUGGAAUUCCUGGUGUAGCGGUGAAAUGCGCAGAUAUCAGGAGGAACACCGGUGGCGAAGGCGGCUUGCUGGGCCUGUCCUGACGCUGAGGAGCGAAAGCGUGGGGAGCGAACAGGAUUAGAUACCCUGGUAGUCCACGCCGUAAACGUUGGGCGCUAGGUGUGGGGUUCUUCCACGGGCUCCGUGCCGUAGCUAACGCAUUAAGCGCCCCGCCUGGGGAGUACGGCCGCAAGGCUAAAACUCAAAGGAAUUGACGGGGGCCCGCACAAGCGGCGGAGCAUGUUGCUUAAUUCGACGCAACGCGAAGAACCUUACCAAGGCUUGACAUCACCCGGAAACGUCCAGAGAUGGGCGCUCCCUUCGGGGCUGGGUGACAGGUGGUGCAUGGCC
rnacentral:rRNA from 1 species